UGGGAAUGUGGAAAGGAUACACGGCCAGAUGGCGGAAAUAGCUUGUCUGGCGAUGUCAUCGUCUAGUCAUGGCACUGCCAGGGCAGGGGAUAGAUGAGGCUUUUUCUGCUGCUGAUUUCAGUCCAGGCUGAUUUCGAAGGCAUAUUAUGGGCUGGGUUUUUAUGAUUAACGGGGAUUACGCGCACCGAAUAACAAAAGCCUGCUAGUUUAAGACUACGUGUGUUAUUAUCGUUCCGGAAACCAGAGACCAUGUCACCACACACCUGUCUUUGAAGUACCUUGGUGGCAAGCCUUUUGUCAUAAAAAGGAAGCAAAAGUCAUCGUGUAUUUGGCAUGAACAAACUGUUUGGAACCUACUUUAGGGUCUAGAAUCUAUACAUGUGGAUGCUUCAAUCCUCUGCAUGCGUUUGGAGGUAUACAUGUAUAAGCUAAAAGUAAAUAAGAUAGACACCACCUGGUGUCUUCACUACCUGAGCGCUCUCUAUCACCAGUGCCGAAAAAAAUCAGGUACCUAUACUUUUUCGGGCAACAUGCAAUAUGUCUAAGAGACUUAGUGGAUCGUCGAAUUUCGAUAAAACGUCACCAAAAGCAAGUGUUACCUCAAACGUUGAUGAAACGUUACAGAAUGCCACUGAAAUCUCAAAUGUUGAAGAAACAUCACCUGCAACCGUUGAAGAAACAUCAGCUGCUGUUGAAACUCUGGAAACUACGUCUGAGACCUUAGAUGCACCAGUUGAGGAUGGAAAAGAACAAGACGCAGACAACAAUGAGUUAUUCGAAGAAAUAGUUCAUGAGGAUGAACCUCUUUCUGAUACUCUUGUGGAUGAGAACGGCGAAGCCGAGGUGUCUAGAGUCGAGGAUGAAGAGCUCCAUGAUAAAGCAGAUGUACACGCAGAUGAAAUUGAAGAACUCCACAAUAAAGAUGACGACCAGCAAAAUGAAAAUGGCGGGUCCCAAGACGAGAAGGAUGAACCUGGAGUUAAUGACCAGCCGGUGAACCAGGACACUUCUCUUCAAAAAGGAGAAGCUGAAAUAACAGAGGAUGACGAACUGACUUUAGGCGAACAACACGGGGACCAAAACAAAGAAAUACCAGAUUCUGAAAAAGUCGAGGCCGGGCCUCAAAACGUAAAAGAUCCCAGCACAGAAACGGAGAACCCUGGCGACACUGAACCCGAACAAGGCAAAAUCGAAGAGCCAACCAUGAGCUACGAAGAAAAUGAUCAAGAAGAUGAUUGGGGGGAUUAUGAUGAAGAAGAAUAUUAUGAUGCGAACGGAGAGCCAUAUCCACGCACAAGUGGCGCAUCUCGAGGGAAGAGUCAAAAUGAUGAGAGCCGUGCUUCUAGACGAAGUGGUGCAAGGCCUAGCUCUCAACGUUCGGUGAAAGAUGAUCAUCGCAAGAGUAGUGCAAGAUCACAAAGUCAAGGUUAUGCUGAAGACAGCUAUGACCAGGACGAAGCAUAUGACUAUUACGAAGACAACAAUUACAAUGACGAAGAAUUCCAAUAUGGAGAAGAGGAUUACGAUCCAUCAUACAACCGUCAAAGUGUAAGAAGCAGCAGACAAUCGAAAUCGGAGAGUGCUUCUCGUAAAAGUACAGGUAUCGAGGGUGAAGAAGAACUCCAAAAUGGUGAAGAGGAUUACGACCCAUCAAACAAUCGUCAAAGUGUAAGAAGCAGCAGAAAAUCGGACGCGGAGAGAGUCUCUCGUAAAAGUACAGGUAUCAAGGAAUCACAUCACGAUAACGAAGAGCUCCAGGAUGGUGAAGAGGAUUACGAUCCAUCACACAACCGUCAAAGUAUUAGAAGCAGCAGACAAUCGAAAUGGGAGAGUGCUUCUCGUAAAAGUACAGGUAUCGAGGGUGAAGAAGAACUCCAAAAUGGGGAAGAGGAUUACGACCCAUCAAACAAUCGUCAAAGUGUAAGAAGCAGCAGAAAAUCGGACGCCAGAGUUUCUCGUAAAAGUACAGGUAUCAAGGAAUCACAUCACGAUAACGAAGAUCUCCAGGAUGGUGAAGAGGAUUACGAUCCAUCACACAACCGUCAAAGUAUUAGAAGCAGCAGACAAUCGAAAUGGGAGAGUGCCUCUCGUAAAAGUACAGGUAUCAAGGGUGAAGAAGAACUCCAAAAUGGUGAAGAGGAUUACGACCCAUCACACAAUCGUCAAAGUGUAAGAAGUAGCAGAAAAUCAAACUCGAGUAGUGUUUCUCGGAAAAGUACAGGUAUCCAGAAAUCACAUCACGACAACAGAGAGCUCCAGCAGGGUGAAGAGGAUCACGACCCAUCACACAACCGUCAAAGUGUUAGAACCAGCAGAAAAUCGGACGCGGAGAGAGCCUCUCGUAAAAGUACAGGUAUGAAGAUUGAAGAAGAACUCCAAAAUAGCGAAGAGGAUUACGACCCACCACAGAACCGUCAAAGUGUUAGAAGCAGCAGAAAAUCGGACGCGGAGAGAGCCUCUCGUAAAAGUACAGGUACCCAGAAAUCACAUCACGACAAUGGAGAGUUCCAGCAGGGUGAAGAGGAUUACGACCCAUCACACAACCGUCAAAGUGUAAGAAGCAGCAGAAAAUCGGACGCGGAGAGAGCCUCUCGUAAAAGUACAGGUAUCAAGGAAUCACAAAGCGUUGAAGAAGAACUCCAAAAUGGUGAAAAUGAUUACGACCUUUCACACAACCGUCAAAGUGUUAGAAGCAGCAGAAAAUCGAACGCGGAGAGUGGCUCUCGUAAAAGUACAUACAUCAGGGAAUCUCGUUCCAAAAAGACUCCUCAAUCUUCUCAGGUAGGUAGCAAUAGACCCUCUCGGGUUCAAAUACCUGAUCAUCAAAGGGCCUCUCACAGUUCGAAGGAGCGGCCCAAAGCUAGUUUUUCACAUCGAGCAUCAAGCAGUGUCAGCUUAGAGAAUUUUUCAAGAGCUCAUGAGGCAAGCACGGACAAUGCACCCAAACAUGGGAAGACAGGUGAAGACUACGAUGGGGAAACGCAUCCAAAAAGAAAAUCAUAUCACAACGAUAAAAGCGGCAAUGAACAAAUGAGAAUCAGCCACGAAUCGUCAAAGCAAAAUUCCGAAGCGCCCAGAUGUUCAUGUCUGUGUAACAGAGAUCUCUUAAUAGCAGCUGAUGCUAUUAUUGCAGCAUGCAGAAAGCGCAACAAAUCUACUUUUCCCCAAGAAAAAAAAAGCAGUCGUGGAGAAUCUUUACCACGAUCAACUGUGAAUACUGGGGAAUAUAGUCAAAGGUCAGUUGCACGACUUUCAGAGAACAGGAAAUCCUCCAUCCGGCCCAGCGUACGCUACGAGGAUGAUUCUGUAUCGCGUCAGUCUUCACGUAGCAUGAUCAGCAGCCGUUACGGUACUGUGAGCAGAAGCCUCGCGAGUCAUUCCCCUGAAGUGAAGGAAGAACGAGAUUCGUCUUCGGGGCGAACAGCCUCAACUUCACAUUCAGUAUCACAUUACCGCCCAUCGCACGCCACAUCACACAGAGUAGAUUCCUUCGCAGAAUCAAGGCAUCAAAGCCACGCUUGGGCGUCUCAAAAUCAAAGUGUUUCAAGUUCUCCACAUGCGAUGAGCAGUCGAUUAAGCCCCUUUGGUAGCCAGGCUCAAACAGGCGGUCAGGAAUCCGUUUCUAGUGGUCGCAAACCUAGUGCUGCCCAACCAGACGCCCAAAGUUCACGAUACAGCUACACGUCUAGCGCACCCCAGGCAGCGUCUCGGAGCUCUAUGUCGCACGACAAGUACAGCGUGGUGGACAGUCAGUCUCAGCAAGAGCAGCGCUCCACGUUUGCGGGAGGACUGCAUUCCUCACGGCCACACCCGCCCCCCACAUCCUUUCACAGCCUUUCUGCCACGGAAAGCGCCUCUCCGUAUUUCACUGCAGACACAGAUCAAUGGGGAUCCGUUGCGACUCAGAGACCAUCUUUCCAGUCACAGCGUACUGUUUCUUUCCGACAGCCCAUUACCCGAGGGUCUUCAGCUUUAGCCUCCGAGACUGGUAGGUCUGUCAUCACCAGUGGGCACCAGGAUCUGGUCAGUCAACAGAGCUCUGCACCAGAGGACGAGAGCUCUGAGAGGACGUUCUUCUUCAGAAAUGGUAGUGUCCGACGAUCACUGACCUCUACUUCAGUUGUCUCUGGUGGAGCUUCGGAAUCGAGACCCAGCCAGCCGAUAUCGAAUGCCAACUCACAGGCACAUAGCUCGGCGGGAUCAAGGAUUUCGCAUAUUUUAACAGCAGCGCCCUCAGACCGGACAUCGCUGGCAAUGAGCCAAAGAGACAGGGAGGGCUCAAGGGUUUCGAUUUUAACAGCGGCACCCACAGACCGGACAUCGUUGGCGAUGAGCCAAAGAGACGAUUCCCGAAGCAAUGCAAAUACGGGAGAGUCCACGGGAGGGAACGGAAGGAUAUCAUUCGGUCCAUCAACCUCACAGAACAGUCGGGUUUCCUUGGGGUGUCCACCACCUCCGACUUUAGACGAUCUCGAUUGCGUGCCGGGUUCAUCUGUGAGACCCUCUGAAAUAAGACACCAAUCUACGGUGAGUGAGUAUCGUUUUAUCUGAGAAGUCCUACCUCCAUAAAAAACCCACAAAAACCCCCAUCCAAAACGAAACAAAAAACAAACAAAAAACGAAAAGAAAAUUCGUUGUUUUACUUUCAUUUGGACAUAGAAAGGUUGCUCCGUGGAAAGACCAUGUGAUCCAUCAAUAAGACACUGUACUAAGAAUAAAUAUUCAAGGAAGAGCAAAGACACCCCCCCAUAUCAAAAGAAAAACAGCUACGUUUAAAUAGAUAAGUCAACCUUCAAGCGCUAACGUUUACGGACGUCUUAACCGCGUUCUCCGAGUGGUUGCGAUGUGUGGGAGAAAUUUCGUGGGGCUAGCGGACAGCCGGAUAUCUUCAGAGGAAGAACCCCCCUCAAGCAAGUGUUUCGGCCCUAACUUCCUGACACGUCUCUCGUUUGAGCCAGAGCAGUGCCCUCCAAGAUGGACAAGAAGUGUCAAGGUCGACGAUCCCGUCCCGGAAAAACACCAGCG